rnacentral:rRNA from 1 species
UACGAAGGGUGCAAGCGUUACUCGGAAUUACUGGGCGUAGAGGGUGCGUAGGUGGUUGUUUAAGUCUGCUGUGAAAGCCCCGGGCUCAACCUGGGAAUGGCAGUGGAUACUGGACAGCUAGAGUGCGGUAGAGGGUAGUGGAAUUCCCGGUGUAGCAGUGAAAUGCGUAGAGAUCGGGAGGAACACCAGUGGCGAAGGCGGCUACCUGGACCAGCACUGACACUGAAGCACGAAAGCGUGGGGAGCAAACAGG